UACAGAGGUCCCAAGCGUUGUUCGGAUUCAUUGGGCGUAAAGGGUGCGUAGGCGGCGCGGUAAGUCGAGUGUGAAAUCUCGGAGCUUAACUUCGAAACUGCAUUCGAUACUGCCGUGCUUGAGGACUGGAGAGGAGACUGGAAUUUACGGUGUAGCGGUGAAAUGCGUAGAUAUCGUAAGGAAGACCAGUGGCGAAGGCGGGUCUCUGGACAGUUCCUGAAGCUGAGGCACGAAGGCCAGGGGAGCAAACGGG
rnacentral:rRNA from 1 species